CGGGGGCCUGGAGUGGGGUGGGGUUGGCAUCUGUUAAACCCACGCCAAGGGAGCUAGACUCCAUUCCUAGCGGAGCUGGGAGAGUGUGAGCACGGGAGGGCAUGCGCCGGCUGUUGCUCUGGCAACCACCUGGAAGGGUCAAAGCAGGAAGAGGACUGAGACUAGAGAGCACGCUGUGGCCGAGUCUCCCCGGCCAAUUUCAAUGAGAAAGGAAGGAGGGCAACGGCACAGAGCACUUCCGGGUUACACCAGCCUGGCUGUCACAGCAGCACCAGCAGACACACUGGGGAGGGUCCCUGCAGUGGAAUUAGUAUUCCCCCAAAGGGCCCGGCGUGGCGCUGCGCCCGCCACGGCCCGUGAUUAAUCGCCGUCUCCAGAAGGUCACCUCCAGCCACUGCAGAUUAACUCAGUGGGGAAACUUCUUUCCGUAAUUCAAGCUGUUGUUCCCACAACCUGUCAUCCGCCUUGGAAAAGGACGAUUUCGUCAGGGAGCCCGGGGCGGGGGCUGGCCCGCUCCCCAGCCCCUCCCGGCUGCAGACAUGAUAUAUGCCGGGCGAAGUUCUAUUCUCUUUCCAGCUCAUUUAACCCCACAGGAGAGAAGGCGGCGAUCUGAGCACUUGGAUCACCCUUACAGCAGCAGCCAUGCUCUCUCCAGGCCUCGCCUACCACGCCCCCAGCGUUCCAGAUGGGGCAGCACACCAUGGGGCUGGUGACAACAUCUAGAAACAGUAGAGAUGGCCGGAGAGCCAGAGGAGGGGGAGUCCAGGCUUACUCCCCACUAAGCCUAAUCUGUGAAGGGACAGGAUCUCCACACAAGCAGCUCUGAAACCUUCACACCUCCCCCUAUCCCCAAAACCCAGAAGGGUGUGGAAAUGCCUUGGUUCCUUCCAGUCCUGUUCAGGCCCCAGGGCAAGCCAACCUUGUUUUCUCAUCUGCAGUGGGCUGUGAAACCUCAAUGUGUGUGUGUGUGUGUGUGUGUGUGUGUGUGUGUGUGUGUGUGUGUGUGUGUGAGACACCCACACUCCACCGUGGAGCCACACCCCUACCGUGUUCUGUUUGCUUAUUUGAGAUAGGGUCUCCUGUAGCCCAGGCUGGCCUCCCACACCUGAGCAUCAGCCAUUGAUGGGAUAUGAUUAUAGGCAUGGGCCACCAUUCCUGCUGUGGGGCUGGGUUUUUUGUUACCCCACCUCCCCACCCCCAGACAGGUUGUCUCUGUGUAACAGCCCUGGCUGUCCUGGAACUCUCUUUGUAGGCCAGGCUGUCCUCGAACUCAGUGAUCCACUGUGAUCCACUUGCCUCUGUUUCCUAAAUGGCAAAUGCUGAGAUAAAACCCUGCCCGAGGCGCGCGUGGGGGAGAUGGGGCGUGGUUUUGGUUUUUCGAGACAGGGUUUUUCUGUGUAGCCUGGCUGUCCUGGAGCUCACAAUGAAGACCAGGCUGGUCUAGAACUCAGAGAUUCUCCUCCCUCUAUCUCCUGA